UUAAGCGACUAAGCGUACACGGUGGAUGCCCUGGCAGUCAGAGGCGAUGAAGGACGUGCUAAUCUGCGAAAAGCGUCGGUAAGGUGAUAUGAACCGUUACAGCCGGCGAUGUCCGAAUGGGGAAACCCAGUGCAAUUCGUUGCACUAUCGUUAACUGAAUACAUAGGUUAACGAGGCGAACCGGGGGAACUGAAACAUCUAAGUACCCCGAGGAAAAGAAAUCAACCGAGAUUCCCCCAGUAGCGGCGAGCGAACGGGGAGCAGCCCAGAGUCUGAAUCAGCUUGUGUGUUAGUGGAACGGUCUGGAAAGUCCGACGGUACAGGGUGAUAGUCCCGUACACCAAAAUGCACAGGCUGUGAACUCGAAGAGUAGGGCGGGACACGUGGUAUCCUGUCUGAAUAUGGGGGGACCAUCCUCCAAGGCUAAAUACUCCUGACUGACCGAUAGUGAACCAGUACCGUGAGGGAAAGGCGAAAAGAACCCCGGCGAGGGGAGUGAAAAAGAACCUGAAACCGUGUACGUACAAGCAGUGGGAGCACCUUUAUGGUGUGACUGCGUACCUUUUGUAUAAUGGGUCAGCGACUUAUAUUCUGUAGCAAGGUUAACCGUAUAGGGGAGCCGCAGGGAAACCGAGUCUUAACUGGGCGUUAAGUUGCAGGGUAUAGACCCGAAACCCGGUGAUCUAGCCAUGGGCAGGUUGAAGGUUGGGUAACACUAACUGGAGGACCGAACCGACUAAUGUUGAAAAAUUAGCGGAUGACUUGUGGCUGGGGGUGAAAGGCCAAUCAAACCGGGAGAUAGCUGGUUCUCCCCGAAAGCUAUUUAGGUAGCGCCUCGUGAACUCAUCUUCGGGGGUAGAGCACUGUUUCGGCUAGGGGGUCAUCCCGACUUACCAACCCGAUGCAAACUACGAAUACCGAAGAAUGUUAUCACGGGAGACACACGGCGGGUGCUAACGUCCGUCGUGAAGAGGGAAACAACCCAGACCGCCAGCUAAGGUCCCAAAGUCAUGGUUAAGUGGGAAACGAUGUGGGAAGGCACAGACAGCCAGGAUGUUGGCUUAGAAGCAGCCAUCAUUUAAAGAAAGCGUAAUAGCUCACUGGUCGAGUCGGCCUGCGCGGAAGAUGUAACGGGGCUAAACCAUGCACCGAAGCUGCGGCAGCGACACGAUGUGUUGUUGGGUAGGGGAGCGUUCUGUAAGCCUGCGAAGGUGGCCUGUGAGGGCUGCUGGAGGUAUCAGAAGUGCGAAUGCUGACAUAAGUAACGAUAAAGCGGGUGAAAAGCCCGCUCGCCGGAAGACCAAGGGUUCCUGUCCAACGUUAAUCGGGGCAGGGUGAGUCGACCCCUAAGGCGAGGCCGAAAGGCGUAGUCGAUGGGAAACAGGUUAAUAUUCCUGUACUUGGUGUUACUGCGAAGGGGGGACGGAGAAGGCUAUGUUAGCCGGGCGACGGUUGUCCCGGUUUAAGCAUGUAGGCUGGUUAUCCAGGCAAAUCCGGAUAAUCAAGGCUGAGGUGUGAUGACGAGGCACUACGGUGCUGAAGUAACAAAUGCCCUGCUUCCAGGAAAAGCCUCUAAGCAUCAGGUAACAUCAAAUCGUACCCCAAACCGACACAGGUGGUCAGGUAGAGAAUACCAAGGCGCUUGAGAGAACUCGGGUGAAGGAACUAGGCAAAAUGGUGCCGUAACUUCGGGAGAAGGCACGCUGGUGUGUAGGUGAAGCCCCUGCGGGUGGAGCUGAGACCAGUCGAAGAUACCAGCUGGCUGCAACUGUUUAUUAAAAACACAGCACUGUGCAAACACGAAAGUGGACGUAUACGGUGUGACGCCUGCCCGGUGCCGGAAGGUUAAUUGAUGGGGUUAUCCGUAAGGAGAAGCUCUUGAUCGAAGCCCCGGUAAACGGCGGCCGUAACUAUAACGGUCCUAAGGUAGCGAAAUUCCUUGUCGGGUAAGUUCCGACCUGCACGAAUGGCGUAAUGAUGGCCAGGCUGUCUCCACCCGAGACUCAGUGAAAUUGAACUCGCUGUGAAGAUGCAGUGUACCCGCGGCAAGACGGAAAGACCCCGUGAACCUUUACUAUAGCUUGACACUGAACAUUGAGCCUUGAUGUGUAGGAUAGGUGGGAGGCUUUGAAGCGUGGACGCCAGUCUGCGUGGAGCCAACCUUGAAAUACCACCCUUUAAUGUUUGAUGUUCUAACGUUGGCCCCUUAUCGGGGUUGCGGACAGUGUCUGGUGGGUAGUUUGACUGGGGCGGUCUCCUCCCAAAGCGUAACGGAGGAGCACGAAGGUUAGCUAAUCCUGGUCGGACAUCAGGAGGUUAGUGCAAUGGCAUAAGCUAGCUUGACUGCGAGCGUGACGGCGCGAGCAGGUGCGAAAGCAGGUCAUAGUGAUCCGGUGGUUCUGAAUGGAAGGGCCAUCGCUCAACGGAUAAAAGGUACUCCGGGGAUAACAGGCUGAUACCGCCCAAGAGUUCAUAUCGACGGCGGUGUUUGGCACCUCGAUGUCGGCUCAUCACAUCCUGGGGCUGAAGUAGGUCCCAAGGGUAUGGCUGUUCGCCAUUUAAAGUGGUACGCGAGCUGGGUUUAGAACGUCGUGAGACAGUUCGGUCCCUAUCUGCCGUGGGCGCUGGAGAAUUGAGGGGGGCUGCUCCUAGUACGAGAGGACCGGAGUGGACGCAUCACUGGUGUUCGGGUUGUCAUGCCAAUGGCACUGCCCGGUAGCUAAAUGCGGAAGAGAUAAGUGCUGAAAGCAUCUAAGCACGAAACUUGCCCCGAGAUGAGUUCUCCCUGAGACUUUAAGUCUCCUGAAGGAACGUUGAAGACGACGACGUUGAUAGGCCGGGUGUGUAAGCGCAGCGAUGCGUUGAGCUAACCGGUACUAAUGAACCGUGAGGCUUAACCUU
rnacentral:rRNA from 2 species